rnacentral:lncRNA from 1 species
UUCUAGCCAGAAGAUACAAGUUUAAUGAUAUCGAUAAUGUCGUAACCUCAAAGGCCCAGGGCCACCAUACCAAAACUACAUUCAAGCAUUCACCAAACCUAUGUAAAACAAACACACAAUCUUGCACCAAGCCUACUUGCUGUUGAUACUUCCCCCGAUACAUUGGAAAUGUAUAUCCAGGUGUUGAAAAAACCAACCCAAACCACCAAUAUAAAUACUGUUUUUCAUCCAAUGCCAUGAAGAUAAAAAUUAAGUGAUUCUUUGUUUGCUCCAUUCUCCCCGCGUCCCCAGUGGUUCUAAAAUAUUUCGGUUGCAGCCGAACAGCAAGUCUUACUAUAACAAGUUUGAAUGUGUUUAAAGAGACAGCAUUCAAACUUCGUUGACCCCUGGAUCGAGAACGCCUUGGCCUAUUCCCCCCAUAUACACUCCACCUGAUAAGCCAAAUACUUAAAUUGAUCAUUUGUGAAAUAUAUAGUAAUAUUGAUGGUUAGGUGAUGUCUAUUUUUUUUAUAAUGUAUCUUUAAUAAAUUUUUAGUCUAGAUAAUUUUACAAUUUUAUGAAAAUCUUCAAAAAAUUAAAGCGAAUGAAAUUAAUUUUCUAAAAUUUUAAAUAAAAGGUGUUACUUGUAAAAUAAAAUAAAACUGUUAAAAUUAGAAAAAAAAUAGAGGAAUAUAUUUGAGAAAAACACAUGUAUAUUUUCCCUUAUUUUAGAAAAAAAGGGAAUACACCGAAAAUGGUCUUAGUCUUGAUUUGAAAUCAAUGAAGUAAAUUGCAGUAAAAAAAUAUAAAUGAACGCAAUGAUUUUAAAUUUUAGAACAGAUUAAAACAACUUUAUUUCUUAACUUUUUUGCUAUAUUUAUUUCUAUAUAUUAUAACUAUUAUGUAAGUUUGAUUUUGAAUUUAGCCAUGUUUCUAAAUGUUUGGCAAGUAUUCACUUAACCUUAAGAUUGGUCAGUUUCUAUGGUAAGGAGUUCUCAAAAAACCAUUACAAAUAAAGCAUACGCCCAAAAGUACAAAAAGGAUAAGCAUAUAUCAUUACGCCACUACAACCAAGUGACUUCUGCAAUGAUAAAUUGGAGUUAGGAGUUUCAAAAACAUACAUAUUCUGCUAAUUAAAUAAUGAUAGUUUCAAUGAUCAUAUAUUUAGUUGAGUGUACAAUUUAGUGUGGAAUCUAUGAAAUUGUUUGUUGGUGCGUUUCCUCAACGUUUGGUUUGUGUUCCUUCUACGUUUUGUUUGGGCCAUCCAAACCUAGUUAAACAAAUAUUUAGUUCUGAACAUUAUCAUUAGCUUCAGUUCGAAAGUUUUGUAAAGCGGUUAGCUUAAUGGUUAGCACCCUUAUUUGUUUUGAUAACGUCGGGACCCAUGUGGAGCGUUGUAGUUUUUUUUUUUUUUUUUGUAACAUGGAGCGCUGUAGUAUUCUUACAAAUAUAGAUGUAGAAAAUGCCAAACUACAAUUUGGCGUCUACAUCAAAAUAAUUCAAAAGGAGGAGGAAGUAGACAGAUGAGUAGAUGAAAGAAAACAAAUCAUGGAACAUGAAGGCCGCAGUACCAAUGGGGGCCAAGAGAGGACACAUGGCCAACGUAAGGUUUACUUAAUACAAUGUAACUAAUGUUCCGUGCCAUGUUUCUUCUUGCAGAUUAGGAAAACGACAAGAACAAUUUUAAACCACUUUAUUUUCGAAUCAAUUCCAUAGCCCUUAUGUCGGUUUUUUGUAUGACAAUUUUGUAGAAUCUAAUGUUAGUUUAAGCUAAAAUAAUACUUAAUAAAAUUUGGUUCGUAUCUUUUGUGAUGUUCUCAUAAAUUGCGAUUAGCAAUAGCUCUCCACGAUACCUACUAUCCUUCAAUUUAAUAGCUAUAAACAAAUUAACACAGUGGCCACCAAACUCAUAGAAAUUUUAAAAAGGAGUUUUAAACGUUUCGAAUGCGUAACUCAUUAGUAUAGCAUAGGAGAGUUGAAUUCAAGAUUGAGCACUGAACAAUUUAAACGUGCAUAUUUGGGUAAAAAUGAUAAAUUCGAUUGUUGAACAAUAUAUUAAAAGUUGCUCAAAAAAAAAAGAACAAUAUAUUAAACUGGAUUUUUAUGAUUUCAAACUUUGGUGUAGUUUGGUUACGCAUUUAUACUUUUAGUUUUUUUUUUAGUUUGUCUUCAUUUUUUUUUCUUUUAGCUUGUCUUUACUUUGUCUAACCAUAGUUAAGGCUUCUUUGGUUAAAGAUGUUGGAAGCUUUCUCAUGUGCUUUGCUAUUUAUAAACAACAAUUGGAAGAAGCUCCUCUUUCAUCCAUCUCUCACUUCUCAGAUUCCCAUCACUACUUUCAACAGAAACACAAAACUUUAAAUAAAAGAUUCAGUCUUUCGUUUAAUUGGUGAUCAUCGCCUCUCAUACUUGUCUCUAGGUUUGUAUGCUUUUGGAUUUGCCCCAUUUUUUAUUCUUCUUGUAUCGGUUCUACUUAACUCGCACAGAAAAAGGUUGAUGAUGCUUUAUCAAAAGAUUCUUGAUUUUUUUUUGUUUCUUGGUAUGAAAUAUAAUUGAAGGAUUAAUUAAGUCCUUGGCAUUUUACUUCCUUUUUUCCUUUCUUGUGAUUCUUGAUAUUUAACUUUAAUUAUCUCAGUGUUUUGAUCAGAGUUGAAAAGACUUGAAAUUAGUCUUAUUUAGAGCCAAAUCUUGAAUCCUUCAGAUUUUCUUGAUUUAGUAUAAAGUAUCUCAGUGCUUUAGAGGAGCCAAAUAUUGUUUGAUUCACUAACAUAACUUUGAUUAAACUAGAAUCAUCGGUUAAACUUAUUGAGCAUAGGUUUGACAUGAAUGGGUUGGAGCAUAUGGAACCUCUCAGUGUAUGUUCUAAAGUGAACGGUUGAUAAGGCUAACUUUAUAGAGUUGAACAAACAUGUUAAACCGUUCCAUUUCAUCAAUGCCCUUAGUUCGGUUUGAAGGAAGUUUUUGUAAAUUUUCAUAAAUAUGGAAUUUUCUUGGUGCUCUCUGAGCAGAUUGUUGUGUUUGGUUAUACUUACUCUUCUUGUGACUACUAACUACUAUAAUAUAUGCCUACGGAGAUUUGCAUUUUCAUUGUGAUCUAUGUGGUUUGCUUGAAGUGUAUUAAAUCUUUAAUAUAUUCUCAAUUUUUUUUCAUUUGAGCCUUCUUUCUUAUGUACUAAUUAGCCCACGUUGUUGUUUUUCAGAUCACAUCUCUCUGAGAAGAACAAAGAUCUGAUCGGCUUCCGAGAAUUACAUACCUUUUGAAACAUCCAAAAGAGUUGAAAGAUGGG